GACGUAGGAGGCGAGCGUUAUCCGGAUUCACUGGGCGUAAAGCGCAUGUAGGCGGUUGCACAAGUCCGUUGUUAAAGCCCCUGGCUCAACUGGGGGAGGUCAAUGGAGACUGUGCGACUUGAGGGCAGUAGAGGCACGUGGAACUCCCGGUGUAGCGGUGGAAUGCGUAGAGAUCGGGAAGAACACCAGUGGCGAAGGCGACGUGCUGGGCUGCAACUGACGCUGAAGCGCGAAAGCUAGGGGAGCGAACGGG
rnacentral:rRNA from 1 species